rnacentral:rRNA from 1 species
CCUACGGGAGGCAGCAGUGAGGAAUAUUGGUCAAUGGACGAGAGUCUGAACCAGCCAAGUAGCGUGAAGGAUGACUGCCCUAUGGGUUGUAAACUUCUUUUAUAUGGGAAUAAAAUGUUCCACGUGUGGGAUUUUGUAUGUACCAUGUGAAUAAGGAUCGGCUAACUCCGUGCCAGCAGCCGCGGUAAUACGGAGGAUCCGAGCGUUAUCCGGAUUUCUUGGGGUUAAAGGGAGCGUAGGUGGGUUGUUAAGUCAGUUGUGAAAGUUUGCGGCGCAACCGUAAAAUUGCAGUUGAAACUGGCAGUCUUGAGUGCAGUAGAGGUAGGCGGAAUGCGUGGUGUAGCGGUGAAAUGCUUAGAUAUCACGAAGAACUCCGAGUGCGAAGGCAGUUCACUGGACUGCAACUGACACUGAGGCUCGAAAGUGUGGGUAUCAAACAGGAUUAGAUACCCGAGUAGUC